GGACUUAGGGGACUAUAGGUAGUGCACCAUAUAGCUUGGAAGACGAACUGUGGUGUUGCUCAACCGGUGCACUUAAAAUUACAAGUCCCCAAUCAAGAAGUACCUUCUUACUCACGAACUUGGGGGACUAUUGUUGGUACCGUAAUUAACUGAGCAACUAGCUAGGCUAGAUCAUCCACGUGUCAUGCCUUGAGAGGUCGUCACCUUAGCCAAAGAAUCAUUACCACAAGUCACAAUUCUAACCAAAGAAAGAGGAGUCCCACAUCGAAAAACUACAACGCUCACCUAUAAAAGAAGACUACUCUCCCCUAAUAAAGAGACUCUCUCUUCUGGAUCCCAUGACUGGGUUGGGCUUCUCACUUGUUAUCUUUAUAUUUGGGUCCAACCUCUUGUACAAAUGUAAACACAUAAUAUCAUAAUGAGAACAUCCUUCUCUGUGGACUUAGCCUAUUCAUUAAGGGUGAACCACGUAUAUCUCGCCUUCUUUAUAUUUAUCGCUUGCCCAAAUCUUCACAUGCAUGUUGAAGUCCUCACCUUCACCUAUCAUCCACCACUCCACCUCUAUCUAAGUUGACCCUCCCAAAAAGAGCAUCAACAGAGCUUUCGAUAAUGAUGUAGAAGAAUUGCAAGUUUCUGGGUUUUUAUCAUAUACCAAUGACAAGUUUUGUAACAACACAUUGCCCGG
rnacentral:lncRNA from 1 species